UCGGCUGCAGGGAGUUUGUGUGAAGGUGGUGGCCGCUGAGCUGAAAGGUUUUGAUUUGGCUAAUCACUGAGGUCUUGCUCGAAUGCUAACUAAGGAGCCCAGGCAGAACAAAUUCAUUCCUGAUGAAGUCUUGCAGCCGACAACGUGGAAUAAUUUGAAUCACAGACCUGUGAAAUUUGAUCAGGAUGGAAUUAAAAGACUCCCGAAGUGAUUUGGCAAGUCAUUCUAUACCAAGAAGUGGCAGCCUAGCAUGUGAGGGCCCAUUUUCUUCUGCAUUCUCAUCAUGUCUGUGAUUUCUGGAGCAAUUCUGAGGCCCACACCAUGAACUCAAGGUUGCCUGAAGUUAGACUAAAGGACAGACCCUAAUGGUCACACUCAAUUUAUUACCACAUAUGACCCCAUCAUAUACAAAGCUGUCCAGAACAUUCUAGGAUUCUCCAAUGUUAGAUCUUUGAUUAUUAGGUUAUUGACUAUGUUUAGGUGUGUUCUAAUUUAUGUGAAAUAAAAUUUCUUCUCAUUUCUUCUACAUGUCCUAUCCCUUACAUAUUAAAGAGUACGAAGUAUGCUCAGAUGAAAUAUUGGAAAGUCGUACAAAACCAUCAUCAGCUCAGCCUUGACCUACACUACCCCAGGCAGACCUGAUGGGCUGCAUUGAGUCAUUCACUUCUCUUCUUGUAGCAUAUGGAUGUAAUACCAUCAGCUUGCCAUUCCGAGGACAGGGAAGAGUUAAGAAAAUGAACCCAACACAAGGUGGAGGCUUCCAAAGUACUGCUCCUAAUGCUGGAUUCUGCUGUCAAAAAGCAACUUGGAUCAUAAUCAAUUGACCUUGCGGUACCAUCCUAGAGAGAACUACCGCGGUUUCGUGGACUGACUUGUUUCACAAGCUACACUUGAAAGAGACACGGAAGCCAGCAUGCCUCCUUUAAGGCUGCAUUGUCUGGAGGUGUGCAUGUCAGCUUUUUCAGAAGACAAGAGGACAAAGCAGUUCGGCAGCGUUGUAUAGGAAACAAAGGAGAGAGUUCUCAGGGCAGUUAGGUGAGUGGCCUGACCUGCUCACAGGUCCAUCGGAGGCACUGAUGCAGGGUCCGUGUCAAACUUAUAUAUUCAUUUUCAAGUACUCAUUGAAAGCUGCAGAUUGGGCACCCGUAUGCAACUGACUUCAGCCUUCUCACUGCCGAAACACAGCCAGUAGUGUAGCAGAACCAAGAGAAACACGAAUCCUCGGCAGGUACACCUUCUCGAGACCUUUCUUUGUUGUCCUAGCAGGAUUGAAACACCUGAGCAGAUGUGCCAGAACCUGAAAAUGAUAUAUGUGAUUUCAAAAC